GGUAUUUCUGUCACAAUCAAAUCAACCUUUCAAACAUCAUAAUCAUGUUCCAAGCGGAGAAAAGCAAGGAUUUCAAGCUUAUCAGAGUAUCAAUGGAGUGAAGGACAUAACUACAACCUAAACAAAGUCCAGAGAUCAAGCGAAAAAUCCAAAACUGUACCCAAGACACAACAAAAACUACCUAGAAAACAAAAAAAAAAAUUAACGCAAAAAACAAAAACUAAUCAAAGAAAAUUCAGAAUCUCCC
rnacentral:lncRNA from 1 species